rnacentral:rRNA from 1 species
AAGACAACUUUACGGAGUUAACGAUUGACGGAGCGAAGCGACGUCAAAGCGUUCAUUAAAGUCGAGUUGGCUUAGGGAUACGUUCGUUGGGUAGGGGAGCGUUCUGUAAGCCUGUGAAGGUGGCCUGUGAGGGUUGCUGGAGGUAUCAGAAGUGCGAAUGCUGACAUAAGUAACGAUAAAGCGGGUGAAAAGCCCGCUCGCCGGAAGACCAAGGGUUCCUGUCCAACGUUAAUCGGGGCAGGGUGAGUCGACCCCUAAGGCGAGGCCGAAAGGCGUAGUCGAUGGGAAACGGGUUAAUAUUCCCGUACUUGGUGUUACUGCGAAGGGGGGACGGAGAAGGCUAUGUUGGCCGGGCGACGGUUGUCCCGGUUUAAGCGUGUAGGUGUGUGUUCCAGGUAAAUCCGGUUCACUUUAACACUGAGGCGUGAUGACGAGGCACUACGGUGCUGAAGCAACAAAUGCCCUGCUUCCAGGAAAAGCCUCUAAGCAUCAGGUAACAUCAAAUCGUACCCCAAACCGACACAGGUGGUCAGGUAGAGAAUACCAAGGCGCUUGAGAGAACUCGGGUGAAGGAACUAGGCAAAAUGGUGCCGUAACU